AACGAACGCUGGCGGCAUGCCUAACACAUGCAAGUCGAACGAGACCUUCGGGUCCAGUGGCGCACGGGUGCGUAACGCGUGGGAACCUGCCCUUAGGUUCGGAAUAACUCCCCGAAAGGGGUGCUAAUACCGGAUAAUGUCUUCGGACCAAAGAUUUAUCGCCUUUGGAUGGGCCCGCGUUGGAUUAGCUAGUUGGUAGGGUAAAAGCCUACCAAGGCGACGAUCCAUAGAUGGUCUGAGAGGAAGAUCAGCCACACUGGAACUGAGACACGGCCCAGACUCCUACGGGAUGCAGGAGUGGGGAAUAUUGGAAAAUGGGCGGAAGCCUGAUCCAGCAAUGCCGCGUGAGUGAUGAAGGCCUGAGGGUUGUAAAGCUCUUUUACCCGGGAUGAUAAUGACAGUACCGGGAGAAUAAGCUCCGGCUAACUCCGUG
rnacentral:rRNA from 1 species